UACGGGGGGUGCAAACGUUGCUCGGAAUCAUUGGGCGUAAAGCGCACGUAGGCGGUCCCUCAAGUCGGGUGUGGAAGCCCUCGGCUUAACCGAGGAAGUGCAUUCGAAACUAGGGGACUUGAGUACUGGAGAGGAUGGCGGAAUUCCCGGUGUAGAGGUGAAAUUCGUAGAUAUCGGGAGGAACACCAGCGGCGAAGGCGGCCAUCUGGACAGAUACUGACGCUGAGGUGCGAAAGCGUGGGGAGCAAACAGG
rnacentral:rRNA from 1 species